UGGGGAAUUUUGGACAAUGGGCGAAAGCCUGAUCCAGCAAUGCCGCGUGUGUGAAGAAGGCCUUCGGGUUGUAAAGCACUUUUGUCCGGAAAGAAAUCCUUGGCUCUAAUACAGUCGGGGGAUGACGGUACCGGAAGAAUAAGCACCGGCUAACUACGUGCCAGCAGCCGCGGUAAUACGUAGGGUGCAAGCGUUAAUCGGAAUUACUGGGCGUAAAGCGUGCGCAGGCGGUUUGCUAAGACCGAUGCGAAAUCCCCGGGCUCAACCUGGGAACUGCAUUGGUGACUGGCAGGCUAGAGUAUGGCAGAGGGGGGUAGAAUUCCACGUGUAGCAGUGAAAUGCGUAGAGAUGUGGAGGAAUACCGAUGGCGAAGGCAGCCCCCUGGGCCAAUACUGACGCUCAUGCACGAAAGCGUGGGGAGCAAACAGGAUUAGAUACCCUGGUAGUCCACGCCCUAAACGAUGUNAACUAGUUGUGGGGAUUCAUUUCCUUAGUACGUAGCUAACGCGUGAAGUUGACCGCCUGGGGAGUACGGUCGCAAGAUUAAAACUCAAAGGAAUUGACGGGGUC
rnacentral:rRNA from 1 species